rnacentral:rRNA from 1 species
AUUGAACGCUGGCGGCAGGCUUAACACAUGCAAGUCGAGCGGGGUGAUGGUGCUUGCACUAUCACUUAGCGGCGGACGGGUGAGUAAUGCUUAGGAAUCUGCCUAUUAGUGGGGGACAACAUCUAGAAAGGGAUGCUAAUACCGCAUACGUCCUACGGGAGAAAGCAGGGGAUCACUUGUGACCUUGCGCUACUCGAUGAGCCUAAGUCGGAUUAGCUAGUUGGUGGGGUAAAGGCCUACCAAGGCGACGAUCUGUAGCGGGUCUGAGAGGAUGAUCCGCCACACUGGGACUGAGACACGGCCCAGACUCCUACGGGAGGCAGCAGUGGGGAAUAUUGGACAAUGGGGGGAACCCUGAUCCAGCCAUGCCGCGUGUGUGAAGAAGGCCUUAUGGUUGUAAAGCACUUUAAGCGAGGAGGAGGCUCUUUUGGUUAAUACCCAAGAUGAGUGGACGUUACUCGCAGAAUAAGCACCGGCUAACUCUGUGCCAGCCGCCGCGGUAA